rnacentral:rRNA from 1 species
UACGGAGGGUGCGAGCGUUAUUCGGAAUAACUGGGCGUAAAGGGCGCGUAGGCGGUAUCUUAAGUCGACGGUUAAAUACUAUGGCUUAACCAUAGAGGUGCCGGCGAUACUGGGGUGCUAGAGGGUAGUAGAGAGGAGUGGAAUUCUCGGAGUAGCGGUAAAAUGCGUAGAUCUCGAGAGGAACACCGAUGGCGAAGGCAGCUCCUUGGGCUACAACUGACGCUAAGGCGCGAAAGCGUGGGGAGCAAACAGG